UACAGAGGUCUCAAGCGUUGUUCGGAUUCAUUGGGCGUAAAGGGUGUGUAGGUGGCGCGCUAAGUCGGUGUGAAAUUUCGGAGCUUAACUCCGAAACUGCAUUCGAUACUGGCGUGCUUGAGGACUGGAGAGGAGACUGGAAUCAUGGUGUAGCAGUGAAAUGCGUAGAGAUCAUGAGGAAGACCAGUGGCGAAGGCGGUCUCUGGACAGUUCCUGACACUGAGACACGAAGGCCAGGGGAGCAAACGG
rnacentral:rRNA from 1 species